AGCGUACACGGUGGAUGCCCUGGCAGUCAGAGGCGAUGAAGGACGUGCUAAUCUGCGAAAAGCGUCGGUAAGGUGAUAUGAACCGUUAUAGCCGGCGAUGUCCGAAUGGGGAAACCCAGUGCAAUUCGUUGCACUAUCGUUAACUGAAUACAUAGGUUAACGAGGCGAACCGGGGGAACUGAAACAUCUAAGUACCCCGAGGAAAAGAAAUCAACCGAGAUUCCCCCAGUAGCGGCGAGCGAACGGGGAGCAGCCCGGAGUCUGAAUCAGCUUGUGUGUUAGUGGAAGCGUCUGGAAAGUCGCAGGGUACAGGGUGAUACUCCCGUACACUAAAACGCACAGGUUGUGAACUCGAAGAGUAGGGCGGGACACGUGGUAUCCUGUCUGAAUAUGGGGGGACCAUCCUCCAAGGCUAAAUACUCCUGACUGACCGAUAGUGAACCAGUACCGUGAGGGAAAGGCGAAAAGAACCCCGGCGAGGGGAGUGAAAAAGAACCUGAAACCGUGUACGUACAAGCAGUAGGAGCCCACUUGUUGGGUGACUGCGUACCUUUUGUAUAAUGGGUCAGCGACUUAUAUUCUGUAGCAAGGUUAACCGUAUAGGGGAGCCGCAGGGAAACCGAGUCUUAACUGGGCGUUAAGUUGCAGGGUAUAGACCCGAAACCCGGUGAUCUAGCCAUGGGCAGGUUGAAGGUUGGGUAACACUAACUGGAGGACCGAACCGACUAAUGUUGAAAAAUUAGCGGAUGACUUGUGGCUGGGGGUGAAAGGCCAAUCAAACCGGGAGAUAGCUGGUUCUCCCCGAAAGCUAUUUAGGUAGCGCCUCGUGAACUCAUCUUCGGGGGUAGAGCACUGUUUCGGCUAGGGGGUCAUCCCGACUUACCAACCCGAUGCAAACUACGAAUACCGAAGAAUGUUAUCACGGGAGACACACGGCGGGUGCUAACGUCCGUCGUGAAGAGGGAAACAACCCAGACCGCCAGCUAAGGUCCCAAAGUCAUGGUUAAGUGGGAAACGAUGUGGGAAGGCCCAGACAGCCAGGAUGUUGGCUUAGAAGCAGCCAUCAUUUAAAGAAAGCGUAAUAGCUCACUGGUCGAGUCGGCCUGCGCGGAAGAUGUAACGGGGCUAAACCAUGCACCGAAGCUGCGGCAGCGACACUAUGUGUUGUUGGGUAGGGGAGCGUUCUGUAAGCCGUUGAAGGUGGCCUGUGAGGGUUGCUGGAGGUAUCAGAAGUGCGAAUGCUGACAUAAGUAACGAUAAUGCGGGUGAAAAACCCGCACGCCGGAAGACCAAGGGUUCCUGUCCAACGUUAAUCGGGGCAGGGUGAGUCGACCCCUAAGGCGAGGCCGAAAGGCGUAGUCGAUGGGAAACAGGUUAAUAUUCCUGUACUCGGUGUUACUGCGAAGGGGGGACGGAGAAGGCUAUGUUGGCCGGGCGACGGUUGUCCCGGUUUAAGCAUGUAGGCGGAUGUUCCAGGUAAAUCCGGAACGUUACUAACGCUGAGGUGUGAUGACGAGGCACUACGGUGCUGAAGUGACAAAUGCCCUGCUUCCAGGAAAAGCCUCUAAGCAUCAGGUAACAUCAAAUCGUACCCCAAACCGACACAGGUGGUCAGGUAGAGAAUACCAAGGCGCUUGAGAGAACUCGGGUGAAGGAACUAGGCAAAAUGGUGCCGUAACUUCGGGAGAAGGCACGCUGAUGGUAGGUGAAGUGACUUGCUCAUGGAGCUGAAAUCAGUCGAAGAUACCAGCUGGCUGCAACUGUUUAUUAAAAACACAGCACUGUGCAAACACGAAAGUGGACGUAUACGGUGUGACGCCUGCCCGGUGCCGGAAGGUUAAUUGAUGGGGUUAUCCGUAAGGAGAAGCUCUUGAUCGAAGCCCCGGUAAACGGCGGCCGUAACUAUAACGGUCCUAAGGUAGCGAAAUUCCUUGUCGGGUAAGUUCCGACCUGCACGAAUGGCGUAAUGAUGGCCAGGCUGUCUCCACCCGAGACUCAGUGAAAUUGAACUCGCUGUGAAGAUGCAGUGUACCCGCGGCAAGACGGAAAGACCCCGUGAACCUUUACUAUAGCUUGACACUGAACACUGGUCCUUGAUGUGUAGGAUAGGUGGGAGGCUUUGAAGUGUGGACGCCAGUCUGCAUGGAGCCAUCCUUGAAAUACCACCCUUUAAUGGCUGGUGUUCUAACGUGGGCCCGUAAUCCGGGUUGCGGACAGUGUCUGGUGGGUAGUUUGACUGGGGCGGUCUCCUCCUAAAGAGUAACGGAGGAGCACGAAGGUCAGCUAAUCCUGGUCGGACAUCAGGAGGUUAGUGCAAUGGCAUAAGCUGGCUUGACUGCGAGCGUGACGGCGCGAGCAGGUGCGAAAGCAGGUCAUAGUGAUCCGGUGGUUCUGAAUGGAAGGGCCAUCGCUCAACGGAUAAAAGGUACUCCGGGGAUAACAGGCUGAUACCGCCCAAGAGUUCAUAUCGACGGCGGUGUUUGGCACCUCGAUGUCGGCUCAUCACAUCCUGGGGCUGAAGUAGGUCCCAAGGGUAUGGCUGUUCGCCAUUUAAAGUGGUACGCGAGCUGGGUUUAGAACGUCGUGAGACAGUUCGGUCCCUAUCUGCCGUGGGCGCUGGAGAAUUGAGGGGGGCUGCUCCUAGUACGAGAGGACCGGAGUGGACGCAUCACUGGUGUUCGGGUUGUCAUGCCAAUGGCAUUGCCCGGUAGCUAAAUGCGGAAGAGAUAAGUGCUGAAAGCAUCUAAGCACGAAACUUGCCCCGAGAUGAGUUCUCCCUGACUCCUUGA
rnacentral:rRNA from 1 species